GUGCCUACGGGGGGCAGCAGUGGGGAAUAUUGGGCAAUGGAGGAAACUCUGACCCAGCAAUGCCGCGUGAAUGAAGAAGGUCUUCGGAUUGUAAAGUUCUUUAGUCAGGGAAGAAGUCAAUGACGGUACCUGAAGAAUAAGCUCCGGCUAACUACGUGCCAGCAGCCGCGGUAAUACGUAGGGAGCAAGCGUUGUUCGGAAUGACUGGGCGUAAAGGGUGUGUAGGCGGUUGUACAAGUUUGAAGUGAAAUAACCCGGGCGU
rnacentral:rRNA from 1 species